AAUAGGGUUAUGGCUUUUUACAUUUGGGUUCUUUGAUCUUCUUCAGGCGACUGUCACCAACACCACUGUUUCGGAUUCCGCCGUUGUUGUCUCUCUCUCUGAGUCUCCUCCGGGUUAAGUAAUUGGAAGAUGGCCCUUGCUAGCUCUUGUCAUCCGGAUUGCGAACGAGCAUUGAAUGCGAAAGAAGAUUAUGAUGUGUCUCAGUCUGCGGCUUUGGUAGCAGCGGAUCUGAUAAGCACUGGGCGGUUUAUACUUAAGCUUGACACUGAGUAUACUCGCUACUCAGCUCAGUUUUUGGUUGAUAACGCUUGUCCAAAGAAGGAAGUGAUAUGAUAAUGGGAAGCAAUGAGGAUGAUCAAGUGGAAGCUGAGCUUGUUCCUGAGGAUGCUAUGCUUGUACCAGUUGGACCAAUGACAAGGGCAAGGA